rnacentral:sRNA from 1 species
GCUGGGCGUCGUGGCUCAUGCCUGUAAUCCCAGCAGCUCGGGAGGCUGAGGCAGGAGGAUUGUGAGUUCAAAUCCAACCUCAGCAACUUACCAAGGCCCUAAGCAACUUAGUGAGACCCUGUCUCUA